GUCUUUGUUUUGUCUUUAACCCAGCUUUAUGUCAGACAUUGAUGGGAAUAUUAUCAGGAAUAUUAUCAGACCCAUCACAGAGGGUCUACUAUCCAGAGGUGUUCAGCUACAUCAAACACGCAAGAUGAAGAGACCUCUUCGUUCAAGACAAGAAAAUAGUAGUAGCUUUGAUCUGAAGAGGAAGAUGAAGCAAGCGACGACGAGAGUCCGCCAAGCCCAACGGAAAAGCAGUCCCUCCUCCGACGAUCGCCCCAACCGCAGAUCAUUUUCAAUGAUGAAUAAAAAAGUGUGGAGCAUAGAGUGUUAGUGAACCCCCUUGAGGAGCUGCGUGUUUUGAUGUUUUCUUCAACUCGAGCAAUAGAGAGAGAUUGUACAAACCAUUGCCUGAGCUAGUGUCGCUGGAGAACAGCUCAUUUUCGACAAUUUACACUGUCAGAUUACAAGCAAAGGUUCUUCAGUAAAGAGUUGGAGGGAAAGACCUUCACAAAUUACUGUAGGCUUUGAAACACAAGAUAGACUUACAUGUAUGAUUUGUGUCAUAUAAACAAUAAUGAUUGUCAAUGUUAUUUGUGAAAUUAUGAAUUUAUAAUUGUCAAUGUUGAAUAAUUUAUUCUCUACUAAAAUUUGUACUCUUGUUGAACAAAUUUUUAUUGAAAAUUAUUAAGCUAUAAGAUGAGAAAGCAAUGUUCAUGGUGUAACAA